AUACUAUUUGCUGUAAAAACAAAGAAAGGAUCUGUCAAAAAAGGCUUUUUAUGGAUAUUUGUACAUAAGCAUCGUCACAAAAUUUUUUCGAUGUCCAAGAGCACUGAAAAGCUUCAGGCCCCAAAGCUAGCCUUUCUUUUUCCUCCUCACUCUCUCUCUCUCCGUUUGCUCUUUUGUUUGGCACUCGCUCUACACUCUUUACAGUUCGAAUGAAAGAGAAAAUAAAUGAAAACGAGCUCCAAAGCGC
rnacentral:lncRNA from 1 species